ACAAAGGCUCUUUUCAGAGCCACCAUCUCCUCAGAGAGAGGGCUG
rfam:Heterocephalus glaber contig168481, whole genome shotgun sequence.